rnacentral:rRNA from 1 species
UACAGAGGGGGCAAGCGUUGUUCGGAAUUACUGGGCGUAAAGGGCGCGUAGGCGGCCUGUUAAGUCGAACGUGAAAUCCCCGGGCUCAACCCGGGAACUGCGUCCGAUACUGGCAGGCUUGAAUCCGGGAGAGGGAUGCGGAAUUCCAGGUGUAGCGGUGAAAUGCGUAGAUAUCGGGAGGAACACCUGUGGCGGAAAGCGGCUCACUGGACCAUAACUGACGCUGAUGCACGAAAGCUGGGGGAGCAAACAGG